UGUACGAGCCUUUCCAGCACCUGCCUUGGAAAGGCCUGGACGUGGAAGCAUCUCUCCAGUACCAUGAGCAAGAUGAUGCAGUCGCUGUUAUUAAUUGGGAGUGUAGAAGAAUUCUUGAGAAAACCUGGUUGCUGUCUGUGAGCUGCUGCUAUGGCAACGGGCAUGGAUAAAAAGGAUAAACAAUUGAAAAAAGCAAAUGGGAAGAAAUUCCUGCUCCCAGGACUUUAAAAAUAUGUUUUGGUUCUAACUGGAUGCUGUACAGCACAAUAUUCUUCAAAGAAAAAUCAAUGCACAGAUAACCUCAUAUGCGACUAACUACUAACUUUUUCUAGUCUGACUGUGUCUGGGCAUUUCAUGUGAAUCACAGAAUCAUAGAAUGUCUUGGGUUGGGAGGGACCUCAAGGAUCACGAAUCUCCAAGCCCCCUGCCACAUGCAGGGCUGCCAACCUCUACAUUUAAUACUAGACCAGGGUGCCCAGGGCUCCAUCCACCCUGGCCUUGAACACUUUGAGAGAGGAGGAAGAGCUACAGCUGAAAGCCCUUGAAAACAAAGUUGGUUCCCCUCCCAAGAAUUUCAUUGUAACCAUUGCUUCCUCUCUAAAUGGAUUGUCAGACAACGUAUUGCAUGAUGUGGAACAAUCCUCUCAUUCUUCUCUCUACGAAAUUCCUUGCUCUAACUGAGCAAACCAAUUUUGCAAGUGUUUCCCCUCUGCGCAUUCCUGAUACAACUUCUAAAAUAGGACCUUCAAGAGCAUCCCUCCCUUGUUCUUCUGUUUCCUCAUACUGUGACCUCGUUUGACAGUUACUCUACCUUAUUGCCAUGUGAUGUUUAAAAGUAAAGAAAAUAGGGGCUGUAUUUUUUAUAUAUGUGGUUGGAGAUUUCUCCACAUAAGCCAACAGCUGCCAUCUGUGAAAGCAGCAGGUUCUUCUGCUUCCUUUUAAGGCACUGCACUUAGUUUUAAACUUCAUUUUUAGGAAACUAAGUAUAAUGGAAACUAAGUCAUAAGCAUUUCUGUUUUUUUUCCAGUAAAAACGAAAAUGUAAAACUGAACAUUAAAAAAAAAAUCAACCACUAAACUGAAUAACAGGAUUAUUUUUAAGCUAUGUCAUAAAAACAUCGAUAAUUUUUCAGUCAGUGAAUGCUUUCUGUACAGAUGAGAAAAUAAUUUGUUGUAUUUUGGCUCAAGAACAAAGAAUGUUUAACAUGCAUAUAUCUGAAUUUUAUUUCUCUCUAGAAUGAAAGCCAUAGAAAAAUAUGUACCUGAAAACGCAGCAAGAAUUUAAAUUCCAACUGCUUUUCUCUGCAAGAAACCACAUUUGACAUUAUACUUCAUCUUGAAAAACUUAGUGAAGUUGGCCGUAAAAUGAUAUGAUAUUGAAUGGUUUUGCCUCAUCUUAUUUUCUAAUCAGGUACAUAAAUCCUAAGUACGUUGUGCAGAUGCUGCUGCUAAGACUGAUUAGAAUUAAGGGCAACAUAAAAGAUAGUCUUGUAAAAUCAAGUGCAUUUGGACCUCUACACUGGAAAGACUGGGAAGCCAGGAAUUUAACAAGGAUCACCUUUCUCAGUUUCCUUUGACCAGACGUUUCAACAGGAAGAGCCUAGGAGGAAGAUGUUUAGAGAGGCUGAUGGAAAAUAAUGCAUAGAAAUGGCUGCAUCCAGAUUAAUCAGGUAUAUCUGGUAAAUAAGAUUGUAUUAGCAUAUACAUUCCAGCAAUGGGAGUUAUUUACUGCUUAAUAAGCACUGACAGUGGAGCCAGUCCAACGCUAUUGGAAGUCACAGUCCUUCAGUUAAGUCAUGACAGAUUGUACAGCACAUAACAAACUUGUGAUGGUGUCUAAAUUGGAGCUUUCAACUGCCUUUGAAUUACACAAAUGGAUAAUUGAAUGUAAUCAGGUAAACUUUUGUGGUUUUUAUACAACUGUAAUUGUGAUAAUGAUUCUUUGGACAACAUUUGAGAAAUCAAAUUGCAGACUUGUGGAGCUAAAAUCAUGAAGUUAUUGGAGGUCUUGCAAAAGGGGAGCUAUGCAUAUUUUUGUGCCCAGGCACUAUUGCUUGUUUCUGAAUUACUUUUCAUAGUGCACUUCCCAUUCUGCUUCCCUAAUUGCCUAUAGUAAAGGGUGUACUGGAUGUGGCUUCCUCCCUCCUCACGUAUGUAUUUUUCAAAGAGUGCAUCAUGUUCCUGCCCUGAGGUGAAUUCAUGUCUCAAAUUGUGCACUCAAACCAAGGAAGUAAAUAAAAGUACUCCUAAGUCUUUUGUUAUGUCUGUGAGAUGCUGUAGGAAUUGUUUCUGUUGGUUUGUGAUAAGAAGGAAGUACACAAGAACCUUACUAUUAGUAGCGUUAGAAUAACUAAUGCAAUAUGCUAUUGCCACCAAGCUAUCUUUAUUAUGAAUUCACUUGUUACUGGGGCUUCACCUGAAGUUUUUCCUCCAAAGUUUUGCUUAUUUGUUGAUGUUUAUUUGUUGACAUAUCCCUCAAGACUCCCUCUUUCCUUACAAGUAAGAAGUACUUUACUCUAGUUAUGACCCCAGGAAGGACUGGCUGAUGCUGAAGGAUGUCCUCUGAUUCCAGAGCUUAUCAGUAAAGACUGGUGGCGUUGUUCUCAGAGACUGUUGAGUUAUCUUCAGCAGCCAUUGGAUCCUUGGGUAAUUUCUACAGGCUACCAAGAAAGAGCAAUACUUCUGUGAGGGCUGAUCAUGACCAGAACUUAUCUGUGGGCUGCUGUAAUGAAUGCUGUUAAAAAUGAAUGCCAGCCACAAGCAUGAAGCCUUACAAGACAGGGAUUUGUCAUUAUGAGGAAAUGGAGUCAUUCUUUCUGUUACAAUAUUGAUGGAUGGGUUUAUGUGUGUGAGAAAUCUUUUAAAAAGUUGUUGGUUUUUUUAAGGUAAGAUGCAAUAUAAUGUGAAUGAUAUAUAUAGUUUGCGAGGAAUAUUUCCCUCUUUAUAUUCUGCCUUACAAGGAUUUUCUCCAUAUUUAGUUUUAAGCUAAUACUUCACUUUACAUUUAAGAACCUACAAUUUAUGUCAGGAAAAGCUUUUAUGUUUAUACUGUGCCAUAACUAAUAAUGAGGGUUAUGCUUUUGCUUUACCAGGCUUUCACAUUUGUUUAAUUUAGAAGUUACUUUACUAUAAAAGGAAGAGCUCUCUCUGGAUUUUAGCUAGUAUAAUUAAUGCUGUUUCACACCGAUGCACCAAUAUACAGAAAUUGAUUGUGCUCACAUGAAAAAUACAACAGAUUCUUCCUUGAUUUUCCAUCUUUUCUUUUGGUCAAAGGAGUAAAAUAAUGACAAGAUAAAUAUUUCUACAGAAGCAUACCAGCCAGAAGCGCACCAGCCAGAAGCACACCAAAGGGAAGUGCUGUCAUUAGAAGUGUGAGUUCGGUAUUUCAGUUAUGCAAUGAACAACAAACUAUCUUAGAUGCACUGUGAGUUCAGUAUGUCAAAUUAAAAACCAUUGAAAGUAUAUCUAUAGAUGUUACAAAAUGAACUAUUAUUUGGAAUCCCAAAGGUUGAAUUUUUCUAUUUUUCUGUCUGCUUCCAUUCUUGCUUGCCUCCAUUGUGUAUUUUCCCUUCUCUUUGCCAUCUUUUGGUGGAAAAAUCAAAAAAGGUAAGCAAACCUAUGAAAGGCAGGAAUGUGUUUAUGUUUUGCCUAUCUGAGUAAAAAACACUUCUACUGCUUUGCUUUUUGCAGCGUUCCCUAUUUACAUACAUUCUCUUGCUUUCCAUAUGACAGGUUUUCCCCAGGACUCCACAGAGAGAGGAUGGAAGAGGUGCCAAAGGGGCAACAGAUGGCCAUCCUGCCACAGCAGCAGAGCUGGUGUUAAUAUUUCUGGAGUGAAAACCUUAUCUUUAAGGACCCAUGACACGGAAAUGAAGAUGAGUUGUUCUUGUGACAAAGAAAGAGAUGAAUCUAUGCUUCUGGAAAACAUCUUUCACUCGCUUUAUUAUAACAAGGUGUGAUUGUUGCUUGGAGUUCUCAGGGCUAUCCCACCACACAGCAGCCUGCAUUCUCAGCUAUCUCCAUAUCAUAGAAAAUCUGUUCCCAUGAGCUCAGCAAAUGUUUGCAUGGUGGACUGGCAUAGACUGUAAGCCAAGAGCAAUAUGGGGAAGGGAGCAGAACUGAGCCAUGAAGAAACGCAAAGUACUUCAUGUAUGAGAGCCAACACAGCUGCAGGAACCAUAAGGAAUCAUCUAUGGGAGCUUGAGCGUGCAGUGAGAGCUUCCUCCCAGGGCAGUGACACUUGUCCCCAAAAUGAGGAGAGCUGCCAGGUUGGAGUACUGGGAGUGGAUGGAAGCACGUUUCUGACCCAGACAGCCAGUCUUGUGAGAGGCAGGGGAACUGAAGCUGCUCAGAUGUGAAUGUAACGAGCGAGGAGCAGCCCUAGAAUACACCCAGAGGGGCUUUCAGAUGGGAUUUGACCCUGCAGAGUGCCGGACCACGCGUUGCUGCAUUACUGUGUCUCCCAGCUGGAGAUGUCUGCUGCUUAUCUCCAGAGGUUUUUGCUCAAAUUAAAUGGAAAACCAAAUUAAACAAUGAUUUAAUUAAGUGGAAGAGAUGGAACGUGGAGGCAGACUUAGAAGGUGAAGAUCUGAAAGAAGCAUAUUCUUCCAAUCGCGACAUCUAACAGAUGUAAUCCUUCAACAGCAAAACAGAUUUACUGUCAUUUGGACCAUAAUGAAGAAACCAAUGGUAAGAAUUAUGUUACAAGAUAAAGAACUAAACUAAUGAAUAUAGCUGUACAAACCUGAAUAACACACUCCACAGAAGAGAUUAGAAGAAACAAAGAAUACAUUGUCAGAAAAAAAAUAUCAGGCAGUUAAGAAUUGCUACAUACUGAAAAAUGCUGAAAUACAGUGACAAAUUAAAUAAUUUUAUAGAAUGCAUACACACUUAUAGAACAAUUUUUUAAAAAUAAACCAGAUAGUGCACUGGGAUAUUGUUUCAAGGAUAACUGCCAUUGAAUGCAUAUUUCAAUAAUAAUCAUGUCAAUUUGUUCACAUUAAUUAGAUUUAUGGAUUGUGUAUGCAGAGAGCUAGAAAUCCCACGCAAGCAACAAUUACCUAUUAACAUUUCAUUUCAUGUUAGAUUAUGAAGAUAUACCUGUUAUGACAAGUUCACAGGUCUGUUUUGUAUGGCUGUUAAUUUCAUGAAGGUUCUCCAGCAGGGUUUGCAUCACCUCAAAUUAAACUUCCUGGCACUCUAGAUUGAAUAUAUCAUCUGUAAAGCCAUUUACAGUAACUAGUUCAUUGUUUUCUGAAUAGUUUUGCUGAAUUAGUUUGUUUGAAAUUGUUCUAACCUCCUGCAACUGGGCUAUGUGAUAUGGUAACAACUUUGCUUAGGGUCUCAGGUUACUGGAGCAGUAACGAUUGAUUGCAAAUUAAACAUUACUGUCGCAUAUAUUCAAUGCACAUAAAACCAGAAAAAAACUGUCCUCUUUUCAGAGUGGUGAUAUAUGAAAGAGCUUUUCCCACUACCUCCCACUCCCCAUUGCACUCUACUGGCUAUGAGGGUAUAGAGGUGGCUGGAAAGGAAAGAAGAUUCAUUCACGUUCACCAGGGUUAUUGCAUAAUUUUUACUGACUUCAAUGCAUCUCGUUGGCAUUUCCGCAGGCGUGUUGUUGAUCAUGAACCGAUACCAUGCUGGUGGCAAUGAGUGGUCACACACCAGGACCUGAGCAGACGUUCGCUGCAGCUCCAGCGAGUCAAACCUGGUGCUGCGGUAUGGGCUGCGGAGGAUGUGAUGUCCAGCUGGGGAGCACUCAGGAGCUGAAAGAUCAGCGAGCUAUGCACUGCUCCACAGAAGUAUGCAGAUAGAGGCAGCCAAGCAUCUCCUACCUGACAACCAAAAAGGUGUCAAGAAUGGCUAGCAGAGGAGGUGGCAACAACAAGUCCCUGCAAGAAAGGUGGGCAAAGUCUGGGGAACAGCUUGAUGUGGAGUUUGGAGCACUGUCACAAGAGGUGUGCUGCAAAGUCACACUGAGUGACUUGUGUCUAGUGGGUAUGGUGGGCAUGGAUUGACAGUUGGACUAGAUGACCUUAGUGGUCUUCCCAACCUUUCUGAUUCUAUGAAAGCAUUUUGUUUAGUGUUCAUUAAGCAGGAUGAGGGAACCAUGCUGCUUCUUUUGAUGACAAUACCACACUAGCAAACACCUGACCUGGCUUUCCAGCAGAAGUGUCUUCUGAAACCUUUCCAUCUCUGGGGCUCUCUGUGCUCUCUCUUAUCAGCAUAAAUUUGCCCACAAAUAACUGUGGAAUAAAUGGAAGGACACAUGAUCACUUAGAUAAAAGCUCUGUGUGGCUGUACAGGACGGGGAAAUUCUGUGGCUUCCUUGCUUUGGAAGGGUAGCCUCAUUUACUGAAUAUGCCAAUUAGAAAAAGCAACAAAGCCAAAUUGUGUCAAUUACUCUAUUAAACUUCACCAAGUCUCAUCGCCACUAAUUCUGGCCUGGCUUCAGAAUUCAGAGACAGGAAGGCUCCGCUUCUGAAUAUAGAAAUCACUACUGCUGUGUCAGAAGAGAAUUAAAAACCUCAUAAAUCUCCUCAAGUUAUCUUUAAGUUAAUGGGGAUGCCUUUAAGGACUUCUGAGCAAUCAAUAGGAAGAAAAUUAUAAUUAUUGUUAUUGAUUGGUCUAUUUUGCUCUCAUCACCCAGAAUGAAAAAAUGACACAAUAUGAAAAGGUUCUUUCUUACACCCUAAUCUCAGUUGAACAUACACUUGCAAAUGUAGCUUUCCUAAAUAGCAGUAGCAAAAACAAACUCACAUGUUUUGAUUUUAGAGCCACUGGGCUCUAUUCAGAUGGAAAUUUGAAUUCCAUGGUUUACCCCUUUGAGAAUUGGAGCUGUUUCCAUACCUAAACUGCAAUGCGGGCUAAUUACAAUUUGAGAGCCACACAUGGCUCUCUUGGUAAAUGCUGAGUUUUGGCGACAUUUCCUCCAGUUUAAUUCUGCAUACAGAUGAUAUAGCGUGGGGGAAUGUGUCACCACUAACUUAUUGUCCCUGAAUCCAGGAUGCAAGCAAAGACUGCCAGAAAGAUAAGGGGACACCAGAUGAAGGCAGCUGAGAGCUGCCAAACAUCAGAUUCCUGUGUAUGUCCUGGGUGUGAUUUAGAUCCUAAUAUAUGCAGGGUGACGAGGCAAUUUUUCCUGUUAUUUCUUUGUUACUAUUCAUCACUAUUAUUCAUUCAAUUCACCAGCACAACAGUGUUUUCAGCAGUCAAGUGCUCCUCACAUGUUUAUAAUGGGUUUUUCUGUCAGCGCUUUGAUAUUUAGGAAGAAUGGUUGGGUUUGCUCUUGCCUUCGCAGUAAGGCUGUAUUCGUUACUGUUCUGCAGCAAUGUUCUCUCUGUAAAUGGACAUGCUCUAUUUCCCAACUAAUGCACGUCCUAGAAGGAUCUAACAUCCUCCUGACCAAAACUCAGGUCUUACUAACCCUGCCUGUCUGUCUGUCUGUCUGCUCGUGGACUGGCCACUGCUUGAAACUUGGAGGGUUGUCACAGAACAGGCUCUGAGAGGAUGCAAAAACUCUUUGCAGGCAUUACUGCACUCUGGAUGGAUUUAAAAAUAUUAAAAUAAAAGGUCAUGAGCUAGAAAUAGUCAGAGGCAUGCCUAGUCUGUGAGAUAAUAUAAAGCUGUGUGCUCCCACCUGUGGAGUGUAACAUUAAUUCUACUUCUACGAUUUCCAUAAACCAAGUUUAUCAAUGAUCCUAAGUGUUUGUUCCUUCAGCCCUUGAAAGAUACAGUUUCUGUGCAUACAGCCAUAAUUAGCUUUAAUAUUAAAAUAAUUAGCAACUUCCUACUAUAGAAACAAGAUAGUUGCAGCUUCAGCCAGCAAUUUCCUACAGUCAUGUAUCUGGGGGGAAUCUUGCACGUCUGAUUUUGAAGAAAGCUUCUCAUUGUGCACCUAGCACUUGAAUGAGAUCUGUUGGCACUGGACCAUGCCAUGAAAGAGCGUGGCCUUAAGCACCAGUUCAUGAAAACUUCUCCAUAAAUACAUUUGCUCAUUUCAUUUACUGGAAUUUUGUCCCCACUCGCUGUUCUAAGAGGUACGCAUUUUGCUGGGUUAUCUUUGCUUUGGUUGUUCCACCAGAUCUCUGUUAAUUCACCAGGAGUAGCAGAAGCAUUCGUAAAUAUAGCAGGGUUUCAGGAAUCUGUAAAGAGUUCAGUGAUAAGCUGCUUUUUGAUAUAAAAGAAAAUCCAGUUCAGCUGGUGUCGGCUGAGCCUUCAUUACAUUUACAGCUGCUACCUGUGCAGUCUUUUAGGAUGUAAUUACCAUAAUAAGAAAAACAUCUCCAUAAUUAUAUGUGCGUAAAGCAAGAUGCCUUUCUCUGGGCAUCUUGCUAGAGCUGCAGAUACAGAUAUACACACUUGCAGGGGACACAGGGGAUUAAGGAGGCACAAGAAUAAAUACAAGACAAUUGUUGCCCCAUAUGGUGCAUAUUAUAGGCAGAUGUGUUUUGAUCAGGAUCAGCCAUGCAGAAGGUAAACUGACUGACUUUUUUCUCAUUUACACUGAACUAACUCUGAUCACAGCGUAGUUUCAUGUGGUUUAAAAUUUAUGCUUUCUUAAAAACAACUCAAAAUAUGGAGGGGAGAUUUGUGUCCUCAGAAUGUUUUCUGUGCUGAGAAAACCAGGCCAUCCUCUGGUGAUUAUCUGGGCUUUGUGGAGGCUUUGCAUGCAGGGAUGGGAUAGGAUGGAAUGGGAUGAGAUGGGAUAGGGUGAGAUAGAAUGGGAUGAAGAUUUCCCCCAUCACAGUCCACCAGUGCUUUAUGUAGGAGAUAAAGCAUGGGCACCUUGUAGUUCUUUAGAAAAUAAAUAAAAGAAAAUUAGAUUGAUAAGUGGAGUAUUCUUGAUGCAAACCACUCUCUUUUGUAGACUCUGAUAACACGGUAACGGAGAAGAUGAAUCAUAAUUUUUUAUUUCCAAGAAGCCAUUUCCAUGCUGAGCUUUCAAUUCUUCACCUCCUUCUUACUUGUAACAGUCAGUGUAGACUUUUAGCUUGUAAAAUAGAGCUGUACUUUUAUUGAAAAAGAUAGUUCAGAAAGCAGUGUUACUAAAGGAAGUAACCAGAGCCCAAUGCUUCCUCAAGUGGAGAUUUCAACAAAAAAUGUGAUCAGUGUAUCGCCACCCAUAGGCAAAACAAGGCACUUUUGUCAGCAGAUGUGCACAGUUUCAGGUUUUGUUCCAUCUUUCUAACAAAAGAUUAGCAAAAAACAGAUUUGAUUUUGCAUUCUUAUUUGGUAAUUGGCUAAUAACUGUAAUUUUCAACUUAAAAAGAUAGGCUAGAAACCAUUUUUCAGAAAAGCCCUACAACAUUACAAUUGAUCAAUUUUUCAUUACACUUGAUCCAUUCAGUUUACCACAGUCGUUUCAUUUGUAAUUUGAGCUUAAAAAACAUAUAUAUAUAAAAGGAAAAAAGAAAAAAAAUCUACUCAAGCAAUUUUAGAUUGGAAAGCCAUAACACAAAUUAGUACACAAAGAAACAGCAGGCGAUCAAUUUAUCAUUUGCUACUUUAUUCUUUAGCAAUUCGCAGUAAUUGUUGAGUCACUUUUGAAACUUGUAAAAUUUGAUUAUGUGAAACUUGGUAAAUGUCAGGCUUUGGUCAUUUCUGUCUUGUUUUUUAUGAGUUUUCUAGAGAACCAAGACUUUGUGAAGGUAGAUCCCUCUGGGACUGGCCAACACCCAGCACAAGUGCAUGUAGGUAAAAGGUAGCACAAAAGCCCUGGCAGUUCAGCCCCUCCUUCUCUUUCCCCUGCCUCCUACCCUUCCCCUCUUCCCCUCCUUUCCCUUUCCUCUCUCCUCUCUCCUCUUUCUUUCCUCUUUCCUUUCUUCUUUUCCCUUUCUUUCCCUCCUCUCCCUUCUCCCUGCCCCUCCCUCCCCCUCACACUGCAGACCAACAUCUCCAAAUCAGUGCAUGUCAGCUGUGGUCCCACGUGCACUCCUGACUAUCAUGUCUCUUACAGUAUCCACUGUGUGGGUGGGAUAUUGCAGAAAUGUGAUGAUGUUCUUAACCCUACCGUUUGAAAAACACACUUGUGAACCUGCUAAUAAAAAGGGUUUUGCAUGUGGCAGGAUGUGAGAAGCGGUGGUGCCACAUGCUGUUAUGCAGACCUUACACCUGUUCCCAUUUAUUCAUGGGUGACCUCAAGAGGGCUUUCUAUUUUUUAUUCUCCACACUGUUCGUUUUUCUGCAGUUGGAAAUGAGAAUCCCAUUAACCUUUUUGGCCUUGAUGUCAAAUUGAGCUGUAUGAAUAUUGUUUGCAGGCAUUGGGUAUGCUCAGAGACACACUGAAUGCACUCAGAGCACAGGGGACAGAGUGGAAGAGCAGCAGAGGAAAACAAACCAGCAAGAUAAAAGGAGAUGACUUGUGGGCAUCUUAUGCUGAGUUUGGGCUCUGCUGGCAGAUUUGGAACUGUCUGCUUUUCUCUGACCUGAAACCAGGUCUGUUGUGUGCUUGGGCAAUGUUCAAGCACUUGCGUAUCCCUUGGCAGAUCUCUCUCCCACUGCAGCUGCUCCCUUUUAUAUUGUUUUAACUAUAAAUAAGAACAUGCUGACUUUGCCAGCUUCCAAAACUGUUUCCCUUCCCUUUCUUUUAGCAAUUUCAGCAAGAAGAUCUACCGAAAUACCAAAAUGCUCCGCUGCUUCCUGAUUGCCCUGUGGAGUAGAAAUCAGGGCUCAUUUCUCCAUUCCAAAACAGAGUGUGAUACUAAGAAGUGUUUCUUCUUUGUUCUAACUAUACUGGCUAUAAUCAGACAGAAAAUGCCUCUCUCUCUUUUUUUUUUUUUUUUAAUUGGAUAAGAGAAUUUCUGGAAGAGGCACUUAGCUGUGCGAGAGGCUUUUUUAACAGAGAUGUCUGCAGAUAUGGAGGAAGGUGCAAAAUCCCUAAAGGGCAAGGUUAACCUGCUCCCAUUGGCUUUGGUCACAGUGGGGGAAUUCAGUCAUUUUCCUGCCCUCUUGGCCCACAAGCAUCAUGGAAAAUGGCUCUUCAUUGGCUAUCAAGGCUGAAUUGCUCCAGAGUGAUUCUGCAGCUGAUUGUGUUUGGCACGUUUCAAUCUCAGCAGUCCAAAACCCAGCCUUUCAUCAACAGAAGUAUGCACUACAAGGCUUAUCGUCUCUCACUCAAAGCACGUUGUGAACAGGUGUGUAUUUCCUUCUGACAAACACCAGAAGAACCAGCUCUUCUGCCUGCCAAGAACUUUCUUCCCAGGAAGAGUAACAGAAAGUUGAGCGAGGCAGUCACUCCCCUGACCCAGCAGCUUGGUCCAGCUGCCAUCACAGCUGCAGAGACCUGCAGAGAGCACUGAGAAAUGGGCCCUCCUGCUGCCAUCCAUCCAUGGGUGUCAGGCUCUCUGAAAGAAGACUGUGACAAGGUGGAAGUCAGCUGCUUCUCCCAGGCAACAGCAAUAGAAUGAGAAUUGAUGGCUUUCAGUUGCUCCAGGGAAUGUUCAAGUUGGAUAUUAGGAAAAAUUUCUUCACAGGGAGAGUGGUAAGGUAUGGUAAGGUAAGUACAGGCUGCCCAGGGAGGUAGUGGAGUCACUGUCCCACAGGUGGUCAAGAAAAGAGUAGAGGUUGCACUGAGGGGUUACAGACUUGGAUUGGUGGUUAACUAUAUGAUCUUAGUGGUCUUUUCAACCCUGAUAGUUCUAUGAUCUUGAAACAUUUCUGUGUGUAAUUAAAACUUCCCUGCCUGUUUCCAGAAACACAUUAAAAGCCUGUGGUUGACAUUUAUCUAGUUUUAUUCAUCUGGCUCUUGAAGUCAAAUUCAGAAACUAAUGCAUAAAUAUUACCCUUUCUGUUAAUUGUGAGUGCUUGCUGAAGGCGGAAACAAACAGCCAGUGCAUCAUUAGUGAAUAAGAGCAACACUGUGACUCUCUGCUGACACCAAACCAAAUAUUUCCUUACAGGGCUUAGAUAAAAUAGGUAUCUAUGUAUGUACUUGUUCCUUCUUUCUACAAAACGGCCAAUUGAUACCAACAUGUGUCUGUCCCACCCUGUUUUCCUGUAUUUCAUUCCUGACAUGUGGCUGAGACCAUCUGGGCUAUGGAAUCACACAGAAUCACAAAAUCACAAGGUUGGAAACGACCUGCAAGAUCAUCCAGUCCAACCACCCUCCCAUUCCUAUCAGUGCCAC